UACGUAGGGCGCAAGCGUUAUCCGGAAUUAUUGGGCGUAAAGAGCUCGUAGGCGGCUUGUCGCGUCGUCCGUGAAAACCCAUGGCUCAACUGUGGGCUUGCGGUCGAUACGGGCAGGCUGGAGUUCGGUAGGGGAGACUGGAAUUCCUGGUGUAGUGGUGAAAUGCGUAGAUAUCCGGAGGAACACCAGUGGCGAAGGCGACUUCUGGCCUGUUCUUGACGCUGAGGCGCGAAAGCUAGGGGAGCAAACGGG
rnacentral:rRNA from 1 species